AUUAUACAUACUUGGGUGAAC
rnacentral:siRNA from 1 species